CCUACGGGCGGCUGCAGUGAGGAAUUUUUCACAAUGGACGAAAGUCUGAUGGAGCAAUACCACGUGAACGAUGAAGGUCUUCUGAUUGUAAAGUUCUUUUAUUUAGGAAAAAAAGCGUGCUAGGAAAUGAGCGCGCCUUGAUGGUACUAAUUGAAUAAGUGACAGCUAACUAUGUGCCAGCAGCUGCGGUAAAACAUAGGUCACGAGCAUUAUCCGGAUUUAUUGGGCGUAAAGGAAGCGUAGGCGGGGAGGUUGAUCCAUUGUUAAAAGCAUUUGCUUAACAAAUGUGUGCAUUGGAGAUCGCCUCCCUAGAGUUAAUCAGGGGGUACUGGAAUUCAAUGUGUAGCGGUGGAAUGCGUAGAUAUAUUGAGGAACACCAGAGGCUAAGGCGAGUGCCUAGGAUAUAACUGACGCUGAGGCUUGAAAGCGUGGGGAGCAAAUGGGAUUAGAUACCCCGGUAGUC
rnacentral:rRNA from 1 species